rnacentral:rRNA from 1 species
AGUCUACACUAUACCACCCUGAAUGUGGUCAAUCUCAUGCGAUCUCAGAAGCUAAGCAGGGUUGGAGCUGGUUAGUACUUGGAUGGGAGACCAUUACAAGGUCUAGUUUAAUGGCUU